GAGAGGAAGAGUGGUACUGGAAAGAGAGGAAGAGUGGUACUGGGAAGAGAAGAAGAGUGGUACUGGGAAGAGAAGAAGAGUGGUACUGGAAAGAGAAGAAGAGUGGUACUGGAAAGAGAGGAAGAGUGGUACUGGGAAGAGAAGAAGAGUGGUACUGGGAAGAGUGGUACUGGGAAGAGAAGAAGAGUGGUACUGGAAAGAGUGGUACUGGGAAGAGAGGAAGAGUGGUACUGGAAAGAGAGGAAGAGUGGUACUGGGAAGAGAAGAAGAGUGGUACUGGGAAGAGUGGUACUGGGAAGAGAAGAAGAGUGGUACUGGAAAGAGAGGAAGAGUGGUACUGGAAAGAGAAGAAGAGUGGUACUGGAAAGAGUGGUACUGGGAAGAGAGGAAGAGUGGUACUGGAAAGAGAGGAAGAGUGGUACUGGAAAGAGAGGAAGAGUGGUACUGGGAAGAGAGGAAGAGUGGUACUGGAAAGAGAAGAAGAGUGGUACUGGGAAGAGAAGAAGAGUGGUACUGGAAAGAGUGGUACUGGGAAGAGAGGAAGAGUGGUACUGGGAAGAGAAGAAGAGUGGUACUGGGAAGAGAAGAAGAGUGGUACUGGGAAGAGAGGAAGAGUGGUACUGGGAAGAGAGGAAGAGUGGUACUGGGAAGAGAGGAAGAGUGGUACUGGGAAGAGUGAGAGUGGUACUGGGAAGAGAGGAAGAGUGGUACUGGGAAGAGAGAGAGUGGUACUGGGAAGAGAGAGAGUAAGGGUCCGCAUGCUUCCCGGCCAGAACACUCAUAUAUUAUGAGGACAUGUUCGCCACACAUUUUUCUCGAGGCCGAAGUCCGUAGCCUGAAUCUAUGCUCCCUCGUCUGCGAUUGGUCAACAGUAGGGGGAUAUUUAUUGACGAUCACUUGGACAGUCAUUACCUGUUACAGUACCAACAGCUUCUCUACCUGGGGGUUCCUUCCUUAAAAAACGAUGUCAAAUAUAGGCCUGUUCAUCAUUUAUCAAGCGGACACUGCCUGUCAACAGACAAAGCUAAUAUUCAAGGGGACAACAUUCAUCACCAGGAUCAAUAUCAACAUCUGGA
ensembl:lncRNA